UACGUAGGGGGCAAGCGUUGUCCGGAAUCAUUGGGCGUAAAGCGCGUGUAGGCGGCUCGAUAAGUCUGCUGUGAAAGUCCAAGGCUCAACCUUGGGAUGCCGGUGGAUACUGUCGAGCUCGAGUCCGGAAGAGGAGUGUGGAAUUCCCGGUGUAGCGGUGAAAUGCGCAGAUAUCGGGAGGAACACCAAUUGCGAAGGCAGCUCGCUGGGACGUCACUGACGCUGAGACGCGAAAGCGUGGGGAGCAAACAGG
rnacentral:rRNA from 1 species